UUGUGAAGCUUGGUUGAUGCGGGGUGUAGUGGGGUCGGGGCGCGGGGCCUUGCCCUACUCUGCCCAUCCAGCACUCUUGUCAGGGAGCAGGGUUGGGGGCUUGCCCGCUCCCCAGCUGGAAUGCCAGUGGGCAGAGCGGGACAAGCCCCCAUGCCCUGACCCUACUCCCUGGCAGGAGCAAUGAGUGGAGCGGGGCAAGCCAAACAACUUUAUAACAGAUCGUUGCAUGACUUUAAAUGAGUACGUUCUCUAAUAAAUCAGCAAUCUAAUAACAAAACAAUGUUAACUGGGAUGACUUUAAGUGAGGAGUUUCUGUAUUUAAUCAAAUCACCUCUCAAACUUUUUUGAUAAACAGCUUGAGCUUACACUACCUAUGCCAAUGGGAGGGGUUCUCCUGUCAUGAUAGGUAAUCCACCUCCCCGAGAGGCAAUAGCUUAUGGAAGAAUUCUUCCGUCGACCUAGCACUGUCUACACAGGGUCUUAUGUUGGCUUAGCUACGCCGCUCCAGGAUGUGGAUUUUUUUUAAGCCCCUGAGUGAUGUAGUUAACCUAAUUUUCUGAUGUAGACCAGGCCUUGGUGUCUCACUGUAAGGUAUUUUCCCCAGCCCUGAAAUCAUUUUUGUGGCUCUCUGCUGCACCCUCUCCAGUUUUUCAACGUCCUUUUUUAAAAUGUGGACACCAGAACUGAGCUCAGGGUUCCAGUCUUUCUCACCAAUACUAUGUACCGAGAUGAAAAUCGCCUCCAUAUGGCUACUCACCCUCUUUGUGUGUGCAAGGGUCUUAUCUGCCCUUUGUGGCAUGGCAUUGCACUGGGCACUCACAUUGAGUUCCUUGUCCCCUGUGUCCCUUAAAUCCUUUUCAGAGUCGCUGCUUUCUAGGUUACGCCCCCGGCCCCCAUUCUGUGGGCAUGGCCUGUGUUCCUUGUUCCUAGAUGUACAACUUUGCUUUUGGCUGUAUUAAAAUACAUUUGUUUGAAUUGCCCCAGCUUGCCAAGCACUUCAUAUCCCUCUGUCGUCUUCAUUAGUACAGUCCACCAAUAGAAAGCUGCAGUUUCAAUGCUUAAGCCUGGAAAGGUUCAGUCCUCCAGCCUCUACUAGGUGGAUUCUGCAGACAGACAUUCUUGAGGAAGCCACGUGGUUUGAUGCUGGCAGGUUCCAACAGGAAGAAACAUCCUUGAAGGAAAACGCAGAGGCUGGGCUGGAGCAUGGAUAGUAGGGCACUGGUCCUAGUUGCGGACCAGUUGUAGGCACUGGAAUUACAGCCAAAGCUUUAGAGACAAGGCUGAGAAACCAAAUUGGAUAAGGGCAUGGGGGGAGGGGGAGGCAGGCUGAGACUGCAGAUGAGGUUGAUGUGGAGGAGAAAGAAUGUGACAAUGAAGACUAGAAAGACUAGGGGGUCAUACACAUCACAGCUUGUGUUGGCUGAUCUCAUUGCACCCACCAGGGGACAUGCGCACGCAACCCUCCAUUCCUGCCUCCCUGGGUCCCACCCUCCAUCCCCCCUCUGCUGUAGGGACUCUCUCUUCCUCCCUCAUGCCUGGGGCUGUCUCCCCAUUCUCCCUUCCCCUGCCAUGGCAGAGUCUCGCUGUGCCCUCCACUCUUCUCACUGUCACAUGCCAGGGUCCCCCAAUCGCCCCUUGCCAGGGGUUCUGUGUGCCCCCUAUUCCCCCUUCCUCCCAUAAGUCAUCCAUUCUCCUCCCCCAUGUGCCAAAGACUGUGUGCACCCAUACCAGGGUCCCUCAAUUUCCCCUUCCCUCCUCCUCUCUCCCACCCCCGGCCUGCCAGGGGUAGGGCACAUGUCUCCCUUCUCUUUAAGAGAUCAGACACUCAGCGUGUCCAUGUAUAAUAACUCUUGGGAGGCUGGACAGAACUGAGAGUGGGGUGGGGUGGGGCUAAUUUUUAUGCUGGAAGGCAGUAAAGGGUGCCAUCAACUGCUCUUUAAUCUAUAGACAAUUGCAGAGCUGUUUGAAGCUCUGACCAUGUUAAACAGAAGCCGAGGUGCCGUGUACCCCAUUUUCCCCUUUCCAUUUUCAGAUUUCCUCCCAAAUCAAUAGGGGUCUGCCCACUGAUGCCUAGAACAUUCCCUGAAAUUCUGGAAUUGAUGGAGUUAAGUGUUUGAAAAGUGAUGGCAUGACAGACGGGCCACAAGUUGUGCAUAAGGCCUUACAAGCUUGGCCAGCUAAGAGCCGAAGGGGAAAGUGAAGCUAUACAGCCCUGCAAGAGCUAGUCUGACCUUGCCAGAAUAGAGGUGGACAGAGAGAGGCCCAAGUGGGGGCAGGGGUGGCGGUGGUAAGUAGCCAAACCGAAGAGGCAGUCACAGAACAGCGGAGCCACUGUCAGUGAUCCUAAGCGGCGCCUCCUGCAUGGAUGGGGAAGCUGACCUGAGAGAUCUGACGUAGAUAAAGAACAGCAUAAAAUCUGGCCUCCUGGGAGCCUGGCUAGAUGUGAUGAGAAGAGCAGAGUGUACCGGAGACGCUUGCACUAUCCGUCUCUGCAAGGACAAGUGAUAAGACAGCUUGGAGCAGGGAGGUGCCAGUAUCCCCAUGGAAGAUCAAUCUUCUCAAGGGAGCGUGUUUCUGGCCAUUGUGUCUGUACGAGCAAUGAGCUGAAUGACCCCAAACCUCUGUGCUUCCCCAAGGGCACCCUCCUCCUCCAGCCUCCUGGGGCACCAGACACUAAAACGCCAAGCAAGGCACAACUUUCUGAAAAGCUCUUGCAGGUCACAAUUACCAACACAAUGUGGCCUGGUUUUGUUUUGGGAGAAGUUUGGACCAUGUCUGUUCACAUCUCGCUUGCUGUACAACUUGUCCUCACGAGGGUUUUUGGAUUGUUUGCUUUGCUCUUUAAACUAAUCAGUUACAUAACGUAGUACCACAGAAGUGCUUCUGAUUGGGGUGGAGAAGUGUCUAACCAUUGUUGCAAUCGGAACAGGACGUGUUUGGAGGAGAACAAAGAAUGGAACAUGCCUUCAGCGAGUGGCAUUUAAGUUAGGCAAGCAGAAAGGAGACUCAUGAUGUUCUGUACAAAAUAACCAUUUGCUUCAUAAGUGGGGAAAUACCUCAGGGCUUGGAGUUCUGCAGAGAUUCACUCCUGACCUUAGUCCUGCUGAAGAUGAUGCACUGAACCCGGUGCAGUUUACCCUCUCUCUGCAUCUGUUGGAUGGGAUCAUAAAUGAAAGGUCCUGUCUGCUCUCUAAGGACAGAAAAGAUGCCGUAUUGCUUCUUGUAGGUCAGGGUUCGACCUAGUAUCUUUGGCUAAAUCGUCCCCCCACAGUACUGUCUGUAUUAUCAAUGUAUGCAACCUGCAUCUCGUAGUUCAUUGCUCCUCCCUUACUCCACCCUCAUCCCCUGCCAAAGUCAGAGGCACUGAAUGCCAGAAGGCUGUUACUUCUCUGAACUGCACUAGUGUUUGUGUAGGAGUGGAUGUUCUGGGCCACAUGCAGAGGUGAUGUGUACCAGGGAGGGGGAGAGAAAUCAUCUAAGAUCAAGCUGCUCUAAUGUCCCAUUUUCAUUUCACAGACAGCAGGACUGGGCCCUUGGUUUGCAGAGACCUUAAUGGGGGGUUUCCAUAUUAUAAAGUAAACAGAAGUUCAAACUAGCACCUUGAGAAUCCACCUAGCACACAAGCCUCAUCCAUGUGCACCCAGUGCGUUCAGUGUACACAGACUUGGAUCAGUGUGUGCAUCACGCGACUGGUCCACCUUGCAACGAGCAAUACACACUGACCUCCUGUGUGUGCACCAAGAGGCUGUCACAUCGGUGACUCCUCCCCAGGCACCAAGAUUUACAGUCAACCUCUCCAUGAGCUUUGAGAAAAGCUACAGCAGCCACCGAGUGACCUCUCAGGGCCCCAAGAUUCACCACUCCAGCCAGCGGCCUCUACCUGCACCUUCCACACGUAUCUGGCUUGGCUCGUUUAUGCAGCCAGGAUGUGGGUGAGCGCAUUCUCCUGCUUCUCUAUCAUGAAAAUGUCUCCAAUUUGGGAACUAGCCAGUGGGAGGAGUCACUCCCAAAAUUCUGAGACCAAGUCAUUGCUCCAUCGAUGGGCUGCUGCUUGGAAAUCAGCUAUUCCAUGUGUCACUCACCAGUGUGGCCUCAUUAAUAUUCUGCAGUUAUUACACUCAUAUUUAAAAUGGCUAUAGCCCAUUUAACUCAAAAGAUCCCAGCAUGCCUGACAAGCCACCUAGAGCAGUGGUGCGUAAAACUUUAACACUGAGGGUUGAAAUGGCAACUUGUCAGGAGUCUUAGUGUCACAACUCUGAAAUAUAUUUAUAUACAUUUGCAUGAUUUUAUGUCUAGUCACAUUCCCCCUUGAGGCAUUUAGAAUAAAGGAGCUCAAUCUGUUUAGCUUAACCUUCUCUUUGUUAAGGGGUGACUUGAUCAGUCUGUAAUUAUCUACAUGGGGAACAGAUAUUUGAUAAUAGGUUCUUCAAACUAGCAGAUAAAGAUAUACCAAGAUCGGGUGGCUGGAGGUGGAAGCCAGACAAAUUCAGCCUGCAAAUAAGAUGCACAUCUUUAUGUGAGGGUAAUUAGCCAUUGGAACAACUCACCAAGAGCUGGGGUGGAUUCUCCAUCCUGGGCAAUUUUAAAAUCAAGACUCGUUUUUUUUUCCCCUAAAUGAUCUGUUCUAGCUCAAAUAAACAAUUGAGGAAAAUCCUUUGGCCUCUGUUUUAGAGGAGAUCAGACUAGAUGAUCCUAAUGGUCUCUUCUGACCACCUAAGCCAUAAAUCUAGAUUUUAAGGCCAGAAACGAUCACACUGAUCAUUUAGUCUGACCUGCACCACACAGGCCAGAGAAUUCCAUCCAACCAUAGGAGUCAGAAGAGAUGAGUGUAGCAAGGAAAAACAGCUGAUAGGAGCUGAUGUUCAAGUAGUCCCCACCCAGCUUUAAACUCACCGGCUCUUCCAGCUCAUCACUAUACAAGGUUUUCUACUGGGCCUCGGAGGUGCUUGGGGCCUCUGCCUGGCAACCUCCACUCCUGCUGAGCUCAAUGGAAGGUGUAGGUAGCCAGACUGGAUCCUGCUUGAUUUGUGCUGACUCCAGCAGAGGGAGCCCGGCUGCAAAGAAUGACCUGUCUCUGCCGCUCACAAAGCCUAGGGGAGCCAGUGCCGUAUCUCGUUCAGGUUUAAACAAGCACCCAGCUGUGCUACAGGCUUAUGUUGGGCCAGAGCCUGGUCUCAGCUGCACCAGAAUAAAUCCAUUGACUUCAGGAGUUAAUCUGGAUUCACAUCCGUGGACCAGGCUAGACUCCAGCCUGUGCAGCUCAU